rnacentral:rRNA from 1 species
CCUACGGGAGGCAGCAGUGGGGAAUUUUGCGCAAUGCUCGUAAGAGUGACGCAGCGACGCCGCGUGAAUGACGAAGGCCUUCGGGUCGUAAAGUUCUUUCGACAGGGAAGAAAAUGCCUAUAAGUAACUGUGUAUGUAUUGACGGUACCUGUAUAAGCAGUCCCGGCUAACUCCGUGCCAGCAGCCGCGGUAAUACGGAGGGGGCGAGCGUUGUUCGGAGGGACUGGGCGUAAAGAGCACGUAGGCGGUGUUGUAAGUCAUUAGUCAAAGACUAGAGCUCAACUUUAGUAAGGCUAGUGAUACUAUAAUACUAGAGUAUCAGAGAGGAUUGCAGAAUUCCUGGUGUAGCGGUGAAAUGCGUAGAUAUCAGGAGGAAUACCGUUAGCGAAGGCGGCAAUCUGGCUGGAAACUGACGCUGAGGUGCGAAAGCGUGGGUAGCAAACAGGAUUAGAUACCCCUGUAGUC